ensembl:lncRNA
UGUGAUUUGGAGGCAUUUUCAAGGAAAGGAUUAAGAAAGAAUGAUUUUUUAAUAGCAUAAAGACAAGCCAAGAGAGGCAUGUGCUCUCUGUGACCUAAUGAAUAUUCCUUCCUUUCUCUCACAAAGCUCAAAGCCUGUAAUUGGCUCAUCAGGGUACAAAGUGUACACUCGGGCUUGGAUUGUGGGGGACAGAAACUUCCCAUGUGACUCCAUCUCCUCAAUGGGGAUGUCUGUGUUCCCACACUUGUUCAGAAACAUGUUCUGCCAUUCACAGACUCAUAGAGGGGAGCCAUUUAGGCUUGAUGUCAGGAAAAGAGGUAAAAACAACUUCCUAACAAUGAGAAGCAUACAAAAGGGAAAUCGACUACCUGGGGUAUGGUGGAGGCUGAGUGGGAGAGGAAAGGCAAAAUCUUGGCCUCUCUUUUACUGGAGGUCUUCAAUCAGAGGUUAGAGAAGCGGGGAAUGGAGAGGGGCAUGUGGGAAGAAGGAUUUUUUUUAAUAUAUGGACUAGACAAGGUAGCCAUGGAGAAACUUCCUAACCUUAUGAAGCUAUGGUUACAUUAUAGAAUAUAAGAGAUGGUAGGAAUGUAGAAUCUAGAGAACAGUGAAUGUCAGUGUUGAGAGAAGCCUUAGAACAGAGAAUGUCAGAACUCUGUGGAGCCUUAGAACAUAGGAUGUCAGAGUUGGGAGAGUCAUGUUAGAACAGAGAAUAUCAGGGUUGGGGGAUGGACCUUAGAACAGGUAAUAAGAGAACUACAGGGGCCUGAGAACAGAGGAUAUCAAGACAGAAAGAGACCUUUUGGAGGUAACAUUUGGAUGUAACAAUGUGCUCCGGUCAUUGAAGAAGCCAUUUUUUGUAGGAACAAUGACAGAGGAUGACCAUGAACAAGGAACUUUUAUGGAAUUGCAGAAUUUUAGAACUGGAAGAACCCCAGGAGGUCAUACAACAACAAGAAGAAGCAUUUUAAUUAGCACUUUAAAACUUCAGAGCAAGUUACAUAGACUAUCUCAUUUGACACUUCUAAUGACCCUACAAGAAAGGAGUUUACAAAAAUGCAAGAGGAAGAUGCAAGAUCAAAAUUCCAUUUGGAAUUCCAAUUACCUGGGACUGGACAGGAAGAGACAGGGCCAAUCACAGCUUCCAAAUUGUCUAGCACUGACCAGGGGGAAGAAGACCAUCCAAGAGAGACUAGAUAACAUGUGGAAGAUGAAGAAGGAAAAUAAAAUCGGAUCCACUCCUCCCUUGUCCAUGUAUUGUAGACUUACACCAAUGAAGUCUAGUUCCUGGGCUAAGUCCAGAUGAGGUUGGAGUGAGGGGAGAAAGGUUUGCCCAAGUCAAAUGCAGCUUUACCAAGAGAGGAGCUUGCCUAGCCCCCUAGCCCUGGGGACCUGACCUAACAGGAAGCCAUACCCGUGUAUCUGUAAAUAAAGAUGAGCUACCAAAAUAUGGGAACA